rnacentral:rRNA from 1 species
GAGUUUGAUCAUGGCUCAGGAUGAACGCUAGCGGCAGGCUUAACACAUGCAAGUCGAGGGGUAUAGUUCUUCGGAAUUAGAGACCGGCGCACGGGUGCGUAACGCGUAUGCAAUCUACCUUUCACAGAGGGAUAGCCCAGAGAAAUUUGGAUUAAUACCUCAUAGUAUAACGACUCCGCAUGGAGAUGUUAUUAAAGUCACAACGGUGAAAGAUGAGCAUGCGUCCCAUUAGCUAGUUGGUAAGGUAACGGCUUACCAAGGCUACGAUGGGUAGGGGUCCUGAGAGGGAGAUCCCCCACACUGGUACUGAGACACGGACCAGACUCCUACGGGAGGCAGCAGUGAGGAAUAUUGGACAAUGGGCGCAAGCCUGAUCCAGCCAUGCCGCGUGCAGGAUGACGGUCCUAUGGAUUGUAAACUGCUUUUGCACAGGAAGAAACAACGCUACGUGUAGCGUCUUGACGGUACUGUGAGAAUAAGGAUCGGCUAACUCCGUGCCAGCAGCCGCGGUAAUACGGAGGAUCCAAGCGUUAUCCGGAAUCAUUGGGUUUAAAGGGUCCGUAGGCGGUUUAGUAAGUC